UACGGAGGGUGCAAGCGUUUAUCCGGAUUCACUGGGUUUAAAGGGUGCGUAGGAGGGCAGGUAAGUCAGUGGUGAAAUCUUCGAGCUUAACUCGGAAACUGCCGUUGAUACUAUCUGUCUUGAAUACCGUGGAGGUGAGCGGAAUAUGUCAUGUAGCGGUGAAAUGCUUAGAUAUGACAUAGAACACCAAUUGCGAAAGGCAGCUCGCUACACGAAAUAUUGACUCUGAGGCACGAAAAGCGUGGGGGAUCAAAACGG
rnacentral:rRNA from 1 species